rnacentral:misc_RNA from 1 species
AACUUUCAACAACGUAUCUCUUGGCUCUCGCAUCGAUGAAGAACGCAGCGAAAUGCGAUACGUAAUGUGAAUUGCAGAAUUCAGUGAAUCAUCGAAUCUUUGAACGCACCUUGCGCCCCUUGGUAUUCCGAGGGCCACACCCGUUUUAGUCUCGUGAAAAUCUCUACCUUCCCGGUUUCUUCUGGACCCCGAAUGAGGCUUGGACUUUGGAGGCCUUUGCUGGCGUCUCUCGCCAGCUCCUCUCAAAUGAAUUAGUGGGGUCCUCUUUGCCGAUCCUCGACAUGUGAUAAGAUGUUUCCAUGUCUUGGUUUAUGGCUCUGUUGCUUUUGGGACCCGCUUCUAACCGUCUCAACGAGACAACGUUCGAGCGUGUCGAACACUCUUGAACCCACGAACCCUUGACCUCAAAUCGGGUGAGACUACCCGCUGAACUUAAGCAUAUCAAUAAGCGGAGGCU